rnacentral:rRNA from 1 species
GUAAUACUGGUGUGGAGGUGGCGCACGGUGAGUAACACGUUAGGUAAUCUGCCUUCAGGUCUGACAUAACCCCGAGAAAUCGGGGCUAAUAGCAGAUGAUGCAGCGGCUUGACAUCAAGCAGCUGUUAAAGCUUCGGCGCCUGAAGAUGAGCCUGCGUCUGAUUAGCUAGUUGGCGGAGUAAUAGCCCACCAAGGCGACGAUCAGUAGCUGGUCUGAGAGGAUGAUCAGCCACACUGGAACUGAGACACGGUCCAGACUCCUACGGGAGGCAGCAGUAAGGAAUAUUGCUCAAUGGGAGAAUCCUGAAGCAGCAACGCCGCGUGAGGGAUGAAGGGCUUUUGCUCGUAAACCUCUGUAGUGAGGGAAAAAUUUCCAUUCUAUGGAAUAUGAUGGUACCUCAAAAGUAAGCCCCGGCUAACUACGUG